ACCUGGAAAUUUUCGCACGCGUCUAACGAGGGUGACGAAGUUCGCGCGCUCGCAAACUUCCACUACCCGCGGGUCUCCGAUUUUCAAAAUGGAGGCGCGGAACGAAGGGAGAAAGAAAACGGGGAACGAACGCCCUCGAAAUCGAGAUUCUAUUAUAGGUGAGUAUCGAAUUACUUCCGGAAAUUCAAACCUCACCGUCAUGGCGUCACGCCUGCCAACGAGAUGACCCCACGCGAAGGAAAUAUGUAUGUGUGUACAUCCUCCGAGGACUCUCGUUCGGAUCGCGUGAAAUAGCGACCGGGUUGAAUUAUGAAAAAAAAUUAACGAGAAGAAGACGCCAUUUUGCGCUCACCUCAACAAUAAACAAUUGACAACCGAUACAGGAAAUCGACCCCCGCAGGAACGAUUCGAGUUCCGUGCUCAGGUGGGUAGGUCUUCUGCAAUGCAAACACGCUACGUUCACCACAUUCGGAAGGUGCGGAACCGCGUCUGCUACGGUGUAAUGGCUGUUUUGGAACGUCAAUGGCACUUCGGCUAUCAGGUCUCUGACAUCCGUGCGGCAAACCGAGAGAUUCUUUCAUUCUUAUUUUGCCAUUGGAAUAAUAUGAAUAUCAUCUGUACCGUUCGCAUGCUGUGGAAACGCCCGUACAAGUAUACGUGUAUUGAAGAUGAAAAAAAGGAAAAGAAACGACGAAAAAAAUCUCUUCGGCUAUGUGUACCCUCCUGUACAAACGUAUAGACGAAUGAUUAGAAGAAAACAAAAUGGCGGUUUUUGCGCGGCGUUGACGAAGAAAAUCUCGACGAUAUAAUAUAAAACGAAAAAUUGUGAGAACGAAUCGAAGAACGUGCAACCAAUAACAUUAUGACAGCUGGAAUGGUAUAUAUGUGUAUCCGGUGAUCAUGAUCCAAUGCAUAACUUCAAGGGUCAUUAGGCAAGCGACGUUUAUGAUUCUUCGAACGAAAUUCAUGUCUUGUG
rnacentral:lncRNA from 1 species